ACCAAUUAUUUCAUACAAGUGACAUUGUGGAAUGAAGUACAUCUACUAUAUCAGUGAUUGUACAAGUAACUCUUUCAACAUCACUUUACAUAAUAGGGAUCUUUUUAAUUAGACACAACAAUGAUUGUUUAGCUGCUAAUGAGCAGGCUAGCCAGUUAGACUUUAGCCCUCAUUAAAACUAAAUUUUUAUUUUUUAAUUUUUUGUAUUUUAUUUAUUUCCACUGAUUUUUAAUUUUUUUUUUACUGGAAUUAUAAACUAAAAUUUUUACUAAUGUCAAUGAGAUCCCACAUGACGGCAGGCAUACACCUGGGUUUUGAUCACUGGGUUCUCUAUGACGAUCUGAAGUCAUCAUAUGAAGAUUUCAACCCCAAGCAGGCAGAUUUUAAUGAAGAAUUCACCAUCCAUAUUGCUGGCUAUGUUUAUGAAACAGAGGCUGACCCUCAUGGAGAUGUGCCAAGAGGAUUUGAAGAGGAGGGACACCAUGCAACUGUUCCAUUCAAUCUACCCAAUUAUUAUAAAGAACAUCUAGAUUAGCCAAUAAAGUGUGUGGGCCACCUGUUCCUGGUUUUCUUUUUCACUCUGUGACCAAGAUGACACUUUUUGGAUUUUCUUCAUUAUACUGUUUGGUUCUGUUUUGACCAUUGCCUUUUAUUUUGCUACAGUAAAUAUGUAAAUAUGUAAAAAGUUGUAUGUGGGUUUCUUGCAGUCAUCU